CUCCCCCGGGGUCCACAGUGGUUUGAUCCUACCUCACGGACUGUUAGGUCCUUUCUGAUUUCCCCUCCAGCAUCACCACCACAAAUGGUAUGGUCCUUAGCAUCAGGUCCUUUUUGUCCCCCCCCCCCACUGGUCUUCUAAGCAGGUUUGAAGCAGCUUCAUCUCAUUCCUGAUUCAUCCUGUUCCCCUCAGUGGCUUGCUCCUGCAUUAGCAAUGUAAAACUGGCCCCAAUGGGUUUCUAACUGGCCAGAAGUUGCUUCUGAUUAGUUCAAAUCUUUUGUGACAAGAAAAAAUCAGCUCUGACCAGUUGAAAUCGAUUUUGACCAGUUUAAAGCUAAUUCUGCAGAGCUGGAGCCUGAGGUCGGUAAACCCAGGAAGAUGGCUGAAGACUAUGCUGAUUCAAGCCAAAGCAAGGAACCAGGUCUGCAGUGAGGCACUUCAGGUGAUUCUGAUGCAGGUCGUCCUUGACAAUGCUCUGGGAACUAUCAUCCAUGUGAAGAGAACUGCAUCCUGUCCAUCUUCAUCCCUGGCAAUGACUAGCCCCAUGCUGCCCUGCUUCACUGCAGAAUGCAGCCAGAAAGUGGUUGUAGGAUAUCUGCAGCUCCAUCUCAUUUCCUGAUUUCCAACAUCUUGAUUUUAUGGAAAAG
rnacentral:lncRNA from 1 species